rnacentral:rRNA from 1 species
GUCCACGGCCAUACCACCCUGAAGGCAUCCGAUCUUGUCUGAUCUUGGAAGCUAAGCAGGGUUGGGCCUGAUUUGGAUGGAAGACAUAUACA